AUGCUCACUUUGGCUGCACAUAUACUAAAAUUGGAACAAUACAAAGAAGAUUAGCAUGGCCCCUGAGUGAGGAUGGCAUGCAAAUUUGUGAAGCGUUCCAUAUUUCU
rnacentral:snRNA from 1 species